rnacentral:lncRNA from 1 species
AUCAUAGUACAAUAAAAAUAAGACAAAAUCUCGUUCAAGGAGCUGUCUGUAUUCAACACCCUGAAAGUUCUGAGCUACAUCAACAGCUGGAACAGUACAGAAACACUAUCUCUCAGGGAGGACAGAGUACCAGGUACCAAAUAGAUCCUGGCAAAGGAACAGGCAUGGAAGUUUCCAGAGCACAUUCCCAUGCUUUAUCUCUCUUACAGGUUUUGGAAUCAUUUUCAAAUAAAACUCCCCCUCACACCACCCAACUGGAAGUCAUUCCUGAUGUGCUGUGAGCAGAAUGGGCCUGUGAUUUUGCAAGAAUGCAAAACCACAUGAAAAUUUCAAGAAUUCACUGAUCUGAUGCAAAAUAAAAAUUUAUCAUUACAUCUUGAACCCAGGAAGCUUACAGCAAAGAGACUAUGCUUUAUGACGUCAGCAAUAGAUAAUUCCACGUUGCCUUUGUGAUUUGUAUAUAUAGCUUACAUUUGUGGAUCACUACAUAGCCAGAUUCAAAAAUAUUUUACUUGUUCCAUCCACAGUUCUCUACAGAAAGAACCAAUGAACCCAAUAGGAACAAAUUCUCUGUGGAAAACAAAGCAUAGCUGUAGUAGAUACGAAUCCAAUCACAGAGGAAACAGGAAGAGAAAAACAUCCAAGACUACAGUGAAAACUGGAAAUGGUCUGUUUUCGUGAUAUUCGUAUGAUUAAGAUGCAAAUUUUUUCUUAGGAAAAUGUGAUUGUUAACUAGCAUUCUGUUUUACAUGUUGACAUUUCUAACACACACAC